GGACGGGUGAGAAACACGUGAGCAACCUGCCUUUCAGAGGGGGAUAACGUUUGGAAACGAACGCUAAUACCGCAUAAAGUAUCGGAGUCGCAUGGCACUGAUAUCAAAGGAGCAAUCCGCUGAAAGAUGGGCUCGCGUCCGAUUAGGCAGUUGGCGGGGUAACGGCCCACCAAACCGACAAUCGGUAGCCGGACUGAGAGGUUGAACGGCCACAUUGGGACUGAGACACGGCCCAGACUCCUACGGGAGGCAGCAGUGGGGGAUAUUGCACAAUGGGGGAAACCCUGAUGCAGCGAUGCCGCGUGAAUGAAGACGGCCUUCGGGUUGUAAAGUUCUGUCGCAGGGGACGAAAAUGACGGUACCCUGCAAGAAAGCUCCGGCUAACUACGUGCCAGCAGCCGCGGUAAUACGUAGGGAGCAAGCGUUGUCCGGAAUUACUGGGUGUAAAGGGAGCGUAGGCGGGAGGAUAAGUUGAAUGUGAAAUCUAUGGGCUCAACCCAUAGCUGCGUUCAAAACUGUUCUUCUUGAGUGAAGUAGAGGCAGGCGGAAUUCCUAGUGUAGCGGUGAAAUGCGUAGAUAUUAGGAGGAACACCAGUGGCGAAGGCGGCCUGCUGGGCUUUUACUGACGCUGAGGCUCGAAAGCGUGGGUAGCAAACAGGAUUAGAUACCCUGGUAGUCCACGCGGUAAACGAUGAUUACUAGGUGU
rnacentral:rRNA from 1 species